rnacentral:pre_miRNA from 1 species
AGUGGGAUUGCUGGGCCAAAUGGUUGUUCUAUUCCAAGUUUUGUAAGGAAUCUCCAUACUGCUUGCCAUAAUAGUUGAACCAAUUUGCAGUCCCACCAGCAAU